rnacentral:misc_RNA from 1 species
AAGUCGUAACAAGGUUUCCGUAGGUGAACCUGCGGAAGGAUCAUUACUAAGUUUAGGGAGGCGAGGGGGCGAUUGUGGUGAGGGAGUGAGGAUGAGGGGUGAGAGGUGAGGGGGUGGAUUAGCGUCCACGCACUCAUCCGCCCAUCCGCCCAUUCGCUCGUUGAUUGCCUCCUUGCAGCCUGCACUGGGGAUUGGUGAGCAAUCACUGAUUCCUUUGACCCGCUCCCGUAAGGGGGUGGCUGGAUUUAUUGCCUUGAGGGGUUGGGGGACUUGGCCACUGCCUAGGGAAUACCUUGGAGGGGGCUGGGGAGUCUGAUUCGCUUGGGGGAGUAGAUCACUAAACACACACUUUAUUAUUUGACAUUAUGCAAGAUUUCUAAUGUAUACACAACUUUCAACAAUGGAUCUCUAGGCUCCU